CGCCCGCGCGCGCGGCGGGCUACGGGAGGCAGCAGUGGGGAAUAUUGCACAAUGGGCGCAAGCCUGAUGCAGCCAUGCCGCGUGUAUGAAGAAGGCCUUCGGGUUGUAAAGUACUUUCAGCGGGGAGGAAGGUGUUGAGGUUAAUAACCUCAGCAAUUGACGUUACCCGCAGAAGAAGCACCGGCUAACUCCGUGCCAGCAGCCGCGGUAAUA
rnacentral:rRNA from 1 species